rnacentral:rRNA from 1 species
GAGUUUGAUCGUGGCUCAGGAUGAACGCUGGCGGCGUGCCUAAUACAUGCAAGUCGAGCGAACAGACGGGGAGCUUGCUCCCCUGACGUUAGCGGCGGACGGGUGAGUAACACGUGGGUAACCUACCUAUAAGACUGGGAGUAACUCCGGGAAACCGGGGCUAAUGCCGGAUAACAUGUUGGACCGCAUGGUCCUACAGUGAAAGACGGUCUUGCUGUCACUUAUAGGUGGACCCGCGCCGUAUUAGCUAGUUGGUAAGGUAACGGCUUACCAAGGCAACGAUACGUAGCCGACCUGAGAGGGUGAUCGGCCACACUGGAACUGAGACACGGUCCAGACUCCUACGGGAGGCAGCAGUAGGGAAUCUUCCGCAAUGGGCGAAAGCCUGACGGAGCAACGCCGCGUGAGUGAUGAAGGCC